rnacentral:rRNA from 1 species
CCUACGGGGGGCAGCAGUGAGGAAUAUUGGUCAAUGGACGAGAGUCUGAACCAGCCAAGUAGCGUGAAGGAUGCCUGCCCUAUGGGUUGUAAACUUCUUUUAUAAAGGAAUAAAACGAGGCACGUGUGCCUUUUUGCAUGUACUUUAUGAAUAAGGAUCGGCUAACUCCGUGCCAGCAGCCGCGGUAAUACGGAGGAUCCGAGCGUUAUCCGGAUUUAUUGGGUUUAAAGGGAGAGUAGAUGGUUUGUUAAGUCAGUUGUGAAAGUUUGCGGCUCAACCGUAAAAUUGCAAUUGAUACUGGCAUUCUUGAGUACAGUUGAGGUAGGCGGAAUUCGUGGUGUAGCGGUGAAAUGCUUAGAUAUCACGAAGAACCCCGAUUGCGAAGGCAGCUUACUAAACUGUGACUGACAUUGAUGCUCGAAAGUGUGGGUAUCAAACAGGAUUAGAUACCCCUGUAGUC